GACGAACGCUGGCGGCGUGCCUAAUACAUGCAAGUCGAGCGAGCGGCGGACGGGUGAGUAAUGUCUGGGAAACUGCCUGCUGGAGGGGGAUAAAUACUGGAAACGGUAGCUAAUACCGCAUACCAUCUGAUGUGCCCAGAUGGGAUUAGCGAGUAGGGGGGGUAACGGCGCACCUAGGCGACGAGCCCUAGCUGGUCUGAGAGGAUGACCAGCAACACUGGAACGGGGACACGGGCCAGACGCAUACGGGAGGCAGCAGUGGGGAAUAUUGCACAAUGGGGGCAAUCCUGAUGCAGCCAUGCCGCGUGUGUGAGGAAGGCCUUCGGGUUGUAAAGCACUUUCAGCGGGGAGGCGUUACCCGCAGAAGAAGCACCGGCUAACUCCGUGCCAGCCGCCGCGGUAAUAC
rnacentral:rRNA from 1 species